UAAACUAGGAUUAGAUACCCUAUUAUUUAAAAUGUAAAUAAAUUGCUAAAGUAGUAAUAGUUAUGUUCUUGAAACUUAAAAAAUUUGGCGGUAUUUUAGUCUAUCUAGAGGAACCUGUUUUUUAAUCGAUAAUCCACGAUGGACCUUACUUAAAUUUGUAAUCAGUUUAUAUACCGUCGUUAUCAGAAUAUUUUAUAAGAAUAAUAAUAUUCAAUAAUUUUAAUAAAAAUUUAUAUCAGAUCAAGGUGUAGCUUAUAUUUAAGUAAUAAUGGGUUACAAUAAAUUUAUUUAUAUGAAUAAAAUUAUGAAAAAAUUUUUGAAAGUGGAUUUAGUAGUAAAAUUAUAAAGAUUAAUAAUUUGAUUUUAGCUCUAAAAUAUGUACACAUCGCCCGUCGCUCUUAUUAUUAAGGUAAGAUAAGUCGAACAUAGUAA
rnacentral:rRNA from 1 species